GACGACGCUGGCGGCGUGGAUUAGGCAUGCAAGUCGGACGGUAGGGCUUUAUCGUAAGAUAGAGUUUGAGAGUGGCGAACGGGUGAGUAACACGUAGGAAUCUACCCUUAAGACGGGGACAACCCAGGGAAACUUGGGCUAAUACCGGAUGAGAGUGCGAGAGAUUGCAUUUAAAAGGAUGGCGAAAGUUGUCGCUUAGGGAUGAGCCUGCGGUCUAUUAGUUAGUUGGUGAGGUAAGAGCUCACCAAGGCGAUGAUAGAUAGGCGGCCUUAACGGGUGGUCGCCCACACUGGGAUUGAGAUACGGCCCAGACUCCUACGGGAGGCAGCAGUCGAGAAUAGUCUACAAUGGCCGGAAGGCUGAUAGUGCGACGCCGCGUGAACGAGGGAGCCCUUCGGGGUGUAAAGUUCUUUUAUACGUGAGCAGUGUCCUUUAUAUUAAUAGUAUAAGGGGAGAGAUAUUAGCGUAUGAAUAAGCAACGGCUAACUCCGUG
rnacentral:rRNA from 1 species